GGUCCAGUCGCUAGCUGAGAUCUGCUGGGCUUCUCGGGGUUUGGUAUCUUAUAAUGUAGCUACCAUCUGUCAUCCAAGAAGCCUCUCUUUACAACAAACAGAGACCAUCACAGAAAACCACAACUGCAUACAAAGCAGAAGUCGAAAGAUCUUGGAAAGCUCAGGACCCAGGAAGUCCUUUCCAUCACAUUUCCUAUAUCUAUGGCUCCAGGAACGUCACAGAGAAGGAGGCAGAAAGAUAUUGAAAGCCAGAAUGCCAGCAAGUCUUCAGCAAAAGUCUCUCUUAGACAUGGAUACAGCAGCAAGACAGAAAUAGUGAAAAUAUCAGUGGGCAUGGCUAAUAUGGAAAGGAGGAAAGUUUGUGGGGUCAACCCGGAGAUAAAGAGCUACAAGCAAGUAAAGACUGCUGGGAGAAGGAAUAUUCGCUCCUCCCAGGGAUGAGCCCACUUACUUACUGUCAAAUGCAAAAUGGGCAGAACUGAAGCCAUGUUCAUACUGACAACAAAUAGACUCAAUAGGUUGUAUUUGCAUACGUUUGUGGAAUAAGUCAGUAAAGAGCCUAUCAGCUUGGUAGUAGGAGCUAAAAGGCAGAGCUAGGAGAAGGGUGAUGCAGAUUGGCUGGAGGGAGGAAUGAGAGGGGAUACAUCAAUUAAAAGGGAUCAGUUAAAAUAUGUUAAAACAGCAACACACUCAACAUUAAAAAUUUAAAAUAAAUGCAA